rnacentral:rRNA from 1 species
ACUGUCUCCUCCAGAGACUCAGCGAAGUUGAAAUGUUUGUGAUGAUGCAAUCUCCCCGCGGAAAGACGGAAAGACCCCAUGAACCUUUACUGUAGCUUUACAUUGGACUUUGAACAGAUCUGUGUAGGAUAGGUGGGAGGCUUUGAAGCGGUGCCGCUAGGUGUCGUGGAGCCAACGUUGAAAUACCACCCUGGUGUGUUUGAGGUUCUAACCUUGGCCCGUGAUCCGGGUUGGGGACAGUGUAUGGUGGGCAGUUUGACUGGGGCGGUCUCCUCCCAAAGCGUAACGGAGGAGUUCGAAGGUACGCUAGGCACGGUCGGAAAUCGUGCUGAUAGUGCAUUGGCAUAAGCGUGCUUGACUGCGAGACUGACAAGUCGAGCAGGUACGAAAGUAGGACAAAGUGAUCCGGUGGUUCUGUAUGGAAGGGCCAUCGCUCAACGGAUAAAAGGUACUCUGGGGAUAACAGGCUGAUACCGCCCAAGAGUUCAUAUCGACGGCGGUGUUUGGCACCUCGAUGUCGGCUCAUCUCAUCCUGGGGCUGUAGCCGGUCCCAAGGGUAUGGCUGUUCGCCAUUUAAAGAGGUACGUGAGCUGGGUUUAAAACGUCGUGAGACAGUUUGGUCCCUAUCUUCCGUGGGCGCUGCAAGAUUGAGAGAGCCUGCUCCUAGUACGAGAGGACCGGAGUGGACGCACCUCUGGUGUAUCGGUUGUCACGCCAGUGGCAUUGCCGAGUAGCUACGUGCGGAAGAGAUAACCGCUGAAAGCAUCUAAGCGGGAAACUCGUCUCAAGAUGAGUCUUGCCGGGGCCUCGAGCCCCCUGAAGAGUCGUUCGAGACCAGGACGUUGAUAGGCUGGGUGUGGAAGCGCAGUAAUGCGUUAAGCUAACCAGUACUAAUUGCUCGUGAGGCUUGACCCU